UACGUAGGGCGCAAGCGUUGUCCGGAAUUAUUGGGCGUAAAGAGCUCGUAGGCGGCUUGUCACGUCGGGUGUGAAAGCCCGGGGCUUAACCCCGGGUCUGCAUUCGAUAUGGGCAGGCUAGAGUGUGGUAGGGGAGAUCGGAAUUCCUGGUGUAGCGGUGAAAUGCGCAGAUAUCAGGAGGAACACCGGUGGCGAAGGCGGAUCUCUGGGCCAUUACUGACGCUGAGGAGCGAAAGCGUGGGGAGCGAACAGG
rnacentral:rRNA from 1 species